rnacentral:rRNA from 1 species
GUGGGGAAUCUUGCGCAAUGGGCGAAAGCCUGACGCAGCCAUGCCGCGUGAAUGAUGAAGGUCUUAGGAUUGUAAAAUUCUUUCACCGGGGACGAUAAUGACGGUACCCGGAGAAGAAGCCCCGGCUAACUUCGUGCCAGCAGCCGCGGUAAUACGAAGGGGGCUAGCGUUGCUCGGAAUUACUGGGCGUAAAGGGCGCGUAGGCGGACAGUUUAGUCAGAGGUGAAAGCCCAUGGCUCAACCUUGGAAUUGCCUUUGAUACUGGCUGUCUUGAGUACGGGAGAGGUGAGUGGAACUCCGAGUGUAGAGGUGAAAUUCGUAGAUAUUCGGAAGAACACCAGUGGCGAAGGCGACUCACUGGCCCGUUACUGACGCUGAGGCGCGAAAGCGUGGGGAGCAAACAGGAUUAGAAACCCGGGUAGUCC